rnacentral:sRNA from 1 species
CAAACUCGCACAGCUGCGGACAGAUGAAAUGCACAUGGGCAUCGAUCCCGCCCGCUGUCAGGAUCAGGUUUUCCCCGGCAAUCACCUCAGUGCUGGGGCCAACCACCAUGCCCGGCGUCACCCCCGCUUGGAUGUUGGGGUUGCCGGCUUUGCCAAUGCCGACAAUGUAGCCAUCGCGAAUGCCCACAUCCGCCUUGACAAUGCCCCACCAGUCCAGGAUCAGGGCGUUGGUGAUCACCAGAUCCAAGGCCCCGUUGGCGCGGGUGGCCGUCGGCGAUUGCCCCAUGCCAUCGCGGAUGG